UACGUAGGGUCCGAGCGUUGUCCGGAAUUACUGGGCGUAAAGAGCUCGUAGGUGGUUUGUCGCGUUGUUCGUGAAAACUCACAGCUCAACUGUGGGCGUGCGGGCGAUACGGGCAGACUGGAGUACUGCAGGGGAGACUGGAAUUCCUGGUGUAGCGGUGAAAUGCACAGAUAUCAGGAGGAACACCGGUGGCGAAGGCGGGUCUCUGGGCCGAUACUGACGCUGAGGAGCGAAAGCGUGGGGAGCGAACAGG
rnacentral:rRNA from 1 species